rnacentral:lncRNA from 1 species
GGAAGGUGUCAGAGGAGAUUCUCUGCAUCGGCAGGAGUCAGAGGGAGCAGCACGACUCCUGAAAGCACGAGCGCUAGCAGAGGAAGGAGGCACCUCCCUGACCUGUUGCCCCCACCCUGCAGAAGAACCGUAUUCUUUUCCCCACGCAGUCUUCCUCCAGAGAACCUCUCACCUACUUCUGCUCUCACUGCUCGGGUGUCCACGGCUCCUACCAGCCUGCGAGCACCCGAGGGAACCAACAGCCCACCUCACCUCUGCAUCUUGCCUCAAGCUUGCUGCGUGAAAGAAGGAAGGAAGGAAGGAUGGACGGAUGGAGUGACCUUUAGCUGAGCAACCAUAUAUAUAUACACACACACAUAUAUUUUGGUCUGAAUUGGAAUUUGCCAUAAUGUCAAUUGAAAUUAAAAUCUUUAUAGAUACAAAACUAAAAAAGCCACAC